rnacentral:rRNA from 1 species
CCUACGGGUGGCAGCAGUGAGGAAUAUUGGGCAAUGGGCGGAAGCCUGAACCAGCCAAGUCGCGUGAGGGAUUAAGGCCCUGCGGGUCGUAAACCUCUUUUGCCGGGGAGCAGUGGUCCGGACGCGCCCGGACCGGGGGAGUACCCGGCGAAAAAGCAUCGGCUAACUUCGUGCCAGCAGCCGCGGUAAUACGGGGGAUGCGAGCGUUAUCCGGAUGUGUUGGGUGUAAAGGGUGCGUAGGCGGGCAUUUAAGCCGGCGGUCAAAUGUCGGGGCUAAACCCCGGCCUGCAGUCGGAACGGGGUGCCUUGAGUGGGCGAGAAGUAUGCGGAAUGCGUGGUGUAGCGGUGAAAUGCAUAGAUGUCACGAAGAACCCCGAUUGCGAAGGCAGCAUACCGGCGCCCUACUGACGCUGAGGCACGAAAGUGCGGGUAUCGAACAGGAUUAGAUACCCGUGUAGUC